rnacentral:lncRNA from 12 species
AUGGAGAGCUGGGGAUGCAUUCAGCUGGAGAACAGACCUCGUCCCCUCUGUGGAUGACUCCUCGCACGGUAAUCUCAUAACCAUGCUUCUUGAGGAACUGUGUCAUGAAUGACAGGCCAGAGGAGGUGACCCACAGAAGCAGACAUGGGAUGACGGGGGGCCAUGUCAGCUUCUCUGCAACUUCUACCUCUCCUCCCUGGAUUCCCACACAUAACAGAGGACCGAGAAAGAGGAAGGACGAUAGCAAACAGCAAAGCCCAGUAGUAGUAACGAUAAACAAUUUGGGCUUUGCAUGUCCUCUAGCCUCUAUUGGAGCUGCUCAGUGCUGCUGCUGCGGCGUGAAGGCCGCCAUGGACAACACGCACCUGGACACACCUGACGCACGUGAACGGCACCUGGACGCACCUGGAUGUGUGACUGCUUCCUGUACCACCUGGCGUGUGUGGACUUGCUGUGGGAGGGAUGCGACUCUCAGGCCUCAGCGGUCCGACCCGGGCCCUGCAGCAGGUGUCGUCCCCAUAGAGAAUGAGCCCGGACUCCCUAGUUACCUUGUGGAACGCCACCUUCCCAACACCUGCAGGGUAAGAAAUCACUUUCUUGGGGUUAAGACCCUGAGAUUUGCUAUGGAACACAUCCAGUCUUAA